rnacentral:rRNA from 1 species
CACGUAGGGGCCAAGCGUUGUCCGGAUUUAUUGGGCGUAAAGAGUGCGUAGGCGGUUUUCUAAGUUUGGUGUGAAAUCUCCCGCUCAACUGGGAGGGUGCGCCGAAGACUGGAAGACUAGAGUGUGGGAGAGGUAAGCGGAAUUCCUGGUGUAGCGGUGAAAUGCGUAGAUAUCAGGAGGAACACCUGCGGUGUAGACGGCUUACUGGACCACCACUGACGCUGAGGCACGAAAGCGUGGGUAGCAAACAGG